rnacentral:lncRNA from 1 species
GGGGGCUAGGAUGAAAAAUUUUGUCCUGUAUUUUUAGCUGUAAUCUCUGUCCUGCCUUUUUAUUUUUCACUCUGUUCGGUCCUGCCUUUUUUUUUUAGUUUAUCCAGACUUUUUUUUACCUAAAUUGUCGUCUUGACUUUUUUUUUUUUGCAAGUGUCUCAUCCUGCCUUUUUUUUUACUCAAAACUCCUGUCCUGCCUAUUUUUUUUCAAAUUUCAUCCUAGCCCCCCCCCCCCCAUAAAAAUCAAAUGGUAGCUCCCUUAUGAUAUAAAGUUUCCGUCCGUCAUAUGUCCAUUGCUCUUGACCACAUUUUCAUGGUUCAGUGACUACUUAAAAAAAAGUAAAGAUUUUUUGUAAUGUUUAUUUCUUUCUUUUAUGAGUAAUAGGAUAAUUAAAUUUAAUAUGUGAGUACAUUGCAAGGUCCUCAUGCCCAUCAGAC